GUGCUUGUUUCUGUAGCACAUCUACUAAAANUGGAANAGUNCAGAGAAGAUUAGAAUUGUCCCUGCAUAAGGAUGACAUACAAAUCCAUGAAGCAUUCCAUAUUUUU
rnacentral:snRNA from 1 species